rnacentral:rRNA from 1 species
CCUACGGGUGGCAGCAGUGGGGAAUAUUGGACAAUGGGGGGAACCCUGAUCCAGCCAUGCCGCGUGUGUGAAGAAGGCCCUCGGGUUGUAAAGCACUUUCAGUGAGGAAGAACGCCUGGUGGUUAAUACCCAUCAGGAAAGACAUCACUCACAGAAGAAGCACCGGCUAACUCCGUGCCAGUAGCCGCGGUAAUACGGAGGGUGCGAGCGUUAAUCGGAAUUACUGGGCGUAAAGCGCGCGUAGGUGGCUUGAUAAGCCGGUUGUGAAAGCCCCGGGCUCAACCUGGGAACGGCAUCCGGAACUGUCAAGCUAGAGUGCAGGAGAGGAAGGUAGAAUUCCCGGUGUAGCGGUGAAAUGCGUAGAGAUCGGGAGGAAUACCAGUGGCGAAGGCGGCCUUCUGGACUGACACUGACACUGAGGUGCGAAAGCGUGGGUAGCAAACAGGAUUAGAUACCCUUGUAGUC